UACGUAGGGGGCGAGCGUUGUCCGGAUUUAUUGGGCGUAAAGAGCUCGUAGGCGGCUUGGCAAGUCGGGUGUGAAACCUCCAGCUCAACCUGGAGACGCCACUCGAUACUGCCAUGGCUAGAGUCCGGUAGGGGACCACGGAAUUCCUGGUGUAGCGGUGAAAUGCGCAGAUAUCAGGAGGAACACCGGUGGCGAGGGCGGUGGUCUGGGCCGGCACUGACGCUGAGGAGCGAAAGCGUGGGGAGCGAACAGG
rnacentral:rRNA from 1 species